GAGCUUAUUGGGUCAGACCAUGAGGGCAAUGAGAUAUCAUGAUCUCAGCCCUGAGGUGACUCACCAUUCCUGCUGUGUCGAUUUUCAUUUGCUAUAUACCUAAGAAUCCGUCCUUUUGACAGUGUCAGGCUCACGACUUGUGUUGUCUCCUUCUCCCAAUAUUCAGGUGGCUCCUGCUCUAUCCAAGCAGCCCGAGGUUGCAUACUCGCAUUGGGAGCUUGGCUGUCGAAUCCCUGAAACUGGAUGGAGUCUACAUAGCUGACCUGGAUCAACCGGGGCUCUGUCAUUCCAGGCUCCAAAAUCACAGUGUUGAAAGUCUGCAGCCAGUGUGAACCUGUGGGUGGUGCACAUUGAGACCCUGAGUUUUCACCUUGACUCAGAACAGGUCUGUCAGAUGAAACUAGACCAAAUGGCUGAAGACUGAUGCUCCAACAUUUUGAAGAAUUAUGGGUUAUCCAGGGAGUCAGCUCUCUCUACAAUUGCUGAAGUUUGAGAAGCUACAUUUAGUGUUUCCUAUAUACCCAGCAGUGCUGACAUCCGCUCCUUCUUAAUAAAGUUACGAAUUACAGU
rnacentral:lncRNA from 1 species